AGGACGAACGCUGGCGGCGUGCUUAACACAUGCAAGUCGAGCGAGGCCCUUCCUUCGGGAAGGUGUCCUAAGCGGCGAACGGGUGAGUAACACGUGGGCAACCUGCCCUCAGCUCUGGGAUAACUCCGGGAAACCGGGGCUAAUACCGGAUACGACCUCUAAGGGCAUCCGAAGAGGUGGAAAGUUUUUCGGCUGAGGAUGGGCCCGCGGCCUAUCAGCUUGUUGGUGGGGUGACGGCCUACCAAGGCGACGACGGGUAGCCGGCCUGAGAGGGUGACCGGCCACACUGGGACUGAGACACGGCCCAGACUCCUACGGGAGGCAGCAGUGGGGAAUAUUGCGCAAUGGGCGAAAGCCUGACGCAGCGACGCCGCGUGAGGGACGAAGGCCUUCGGGUUGUAAACCUCUUUCAGCAGGGACGAAGCGAAAGUGACGGUACCUGCAGAAGAAGCACCGGCCAACUACGCGCCAGCAGCCGC
rnacentral:rRNA from 1 species